GACGAACGCUGGCGGCGUGCUUAACACAUGCAAGUCGAGCGGUAAGGCCCUUUCGGGGGUACACGAGCGGCGAACGGGUGAGUAACACGUGGGUGACCUGCCUUCAGCUCUGGGAUAAGCCUGGGAAACUGGGUCUAAUACCGGAUAUGACCUUUGCCUGCAUGGGUGGGGUGGAAGAUUGUUUGGUCUGGGGAUGGGCCUGCGGUCUAUCAGCUUGUUGGUGGGGUGAUGGCCUACCAAGGCGACGACGGGUAGCCGGCCUGAGAGGGCGACCGGCCACACUGGGACUGAGACACGGCCCAGACUCCUACGGGAGGCGAGCAGUGGGGAAUAUUGCGCAAUGGCGGAAGCCUGACGCAGCGACGCCGCGUGGGGAUGACGGCCUCGGUUGUAA
rnacentral:rRNA from 1 species